UACGUAGGGGGCUAGCGUUGUCCGGAAUCAUUGGGCGUAAAGCGCGUGUAGGCGGCCCGAUAAGUCCGCUGUGAAAGUCCAGGGCUCAACCCUGGGAUGCCGGUGGAUACUGUCGGGCUCGAGUCCGGAAGAGGCGAGUGGAAUUCCUGGUGUAGCGGUGAAAUGCGCAGAUAUCAGGAGGAACACCAGUGGCGAAGGCAG
rnacentral:rRNA from 1 species